rnacentral:misc_RNA from 1 species
AACGCACAUUGCGCCCGGCAGUAAUCUGCCGGGCAUGCCUGUCCGAGCGUCAUUUCACCCCUCGAGCCGCUUUUAGUGGAUCGGUGUUGGGGCACUACGGUAAAACGUAGGCCCCGAAAUGAAGUGGCGGUCCCGCCGCGGUGCCCCCAUGCGUAGUAACGUUUAGUCUCGCAUCGGGUCCCGGCGGAGGCCUGCCGUCAAUCCUAUUUAUUCUCAGAAUAGUUUGACCUCGGAUCAGGUAGGGUUACCCGCUGAACUUAA